rnacentral:lncRNA from 1 species
CCCUUACUUUUAUCAGUUGCCGGUAGUAGGGAAAGCAGCUGAGAUAGAGAGAGCAGUUCCCCCUUAAAGUCCUUUAUGGAUUUCGAGUCGGGAAUAGAGCAGUGGCUUAGAUUCCCUGAUCGAGUAAUGGGGUUUGUUUUUCUCUCGUUCACGUUGAGGGACCGGGUUCCGUUCAAGCUGCUGCGAAAGAAUUCAUCGAAGGGGUGGAACGAGCUUACCUUUUAGAGAGAGGAGAAAGGGCUACAUUGAAGGAUCAGGUUCUGUUC